UAUAUAAGCCAGCUCCUGAGGGUAUUUACGUAAAUUAACUUUUCGUGUCCCCCAUCAAAAUGUCUAAAACACCCCUUACUCUUUCCUGUCAAACCCUUCUCAGAUCACUCUCACUCCUUCCUCCGCCGCUUCAUGGUCUUAUCUUCGGUCCUCUCUCCUCUAAGAAAAGUAAAGAAUCAUGUAUUUCUCUCUCCUUUUUUUAUCGAUCUUUCUGCAUUUCUCAAGAGUUUUAAUCAUUCACCUCCGAUUCUAUGCAACUCUCAAACCGUUCGCCGUCUUCUUCAUCUUCUUCAUCGUCCAUGCUUCGACGAUUCUGAUUCGAGAGAUGUGGUCGGCAAAUCUUCCGGUUGUUCGACACCUCUGCUGCCAUCACGUCUACAAAAUGUUGCUACAUCCACCGCCGAUUCAGUGGUGGUACCUGCAGAGGUUCCUGUUGUGGAGAAACAACGGUGGGUCCUAAACGAUUUCAAAAUCGGAAAGCCUCUCGGUCGAGGAAAGUUUGGCCAUGUCUACUUGGCUAGAGAGAAGAGAUGCUGCUGAUUGGAAGUUUGGAGCAAAGCAGUUUGUUAAAAUGCUCCCUAAUAAGCUUUUGAUAGUUUUGUUGUUGAUGCUGAAUUUGUAAAGAAGAAUUCAUGGCCUGAAUUUGUAAAGAAGAAUUCAUGGCCUGAACUUGCUCUAUUGUUUCCACUUCUCAUCAGAUGCGCAAUGAAGGCUUUGAAUCAGAAAGUUAACCUAAUCGGCAUUAUCACGAACUUCAGCAUAAUUUGAGAGAGGGGAAACAUACUUGGGUUGCACCAAUACGGAUUUUCGGCUACUCUUGCUUUCCUCAUUGUCUAUUUGGGUUUUCAGCCACAAAGCCACAAACUGCUGCUGCUCACUCUGCUCUGCUGCUGUUGCUGCUGCUGCUGCUUAAUCUGCUCACUCUGCAAGAAAGCAUGCAAUUCUGGUUCAACCUGCAUCAAGAACUUAGGAAGCAUGCAUUAUGUUCUAGAGUAAAUUAUUGCAUAUUCAAUUAUUUGUUAAUCAUGCUGUCAUUUGGUUGAUUGCAAACUUUGCUUUGAAAAAAGCUGUAGAGUGUUUUUCGAAGAGUUUGAAGCUCAUAAAUAGGGUUAAUGAAACAAAAUGGAGUACCUCUUAGGUACAUGAUGAAAUUUUGGAAUUUAUAUUUUGGUACUAAGAUUUAGAUUCUUUGUCAUGUAAACGUAUGAUUACUCUGUUUCACUAUUUAGAUGUAUAACCUUAAUUUUUUAAAAUACGAACUUUGUGAACAUUUUUUAUUCUAAUGUUUAUAUUUA